AGUCAAUAGAUACCCGGGUAGUCCACGCCCUAAACGAUGUCAACUGGUUGUUGGGUCUUCACUGACUCAGUAAACGAAAGCUAAACGCGUGAAGUUGACCGCCUGGGGAGUACGGCCGCAAGGUUAAAACUCAAAGGAAUUGACGGGGACCCGCACAAGCGGUGGAUGAUGUGGUUUAAUUCGAUGCAACGCGAAAAACCUUACCCACCUUUGACAUGUACGGAAUCCUGCAGAGACGCAGGAGUGCUCGAAAGAGAGCCGUAACACAGGUGCUGCAUGGCUGUCGUCAGCUCGUGUCGUGAGAUGUUGGGUUAAGUCCCGCAACGAGCGCAACCCUUGCCAUUAGUUGCUACGAAAGGGCACUCUAAUGGGACUGCCGGUGACAAACCGGAGGAAGGUGGGGAUGACGUCAAGUCCUCAUGGCCCUUAUAGGUGGGGCUACACACGUCAUACAAUGGCUGGUACAAAGGGUUGCCAACCCGCGAGGGGAGCCAAUCCCAUAAAGCCAGUCGUAGUCCGGAUCGCAGUCUGCAACUCGACUGC
rnacentral:rRNA from 1 species